AGCGAACGCUGGCGGCGGGCCUAACACAUGCAAGUCGAACGAAGUGGCGGACGGGUGAGUAACACGGGGGAACGUGCCUUUUGGUUCGGAAUAACCUAGGGGAACUUGUGCUACUACCGAAAGCCAUUAGAGCGGCCGGGGCCUGAUAAGUUAGUGGGUGAGGUAACGGCGCACCAAGGCCACGAUCAGUAGCUGGUCUGGGAGGAUGACCAGCCACACUGGGACUGAGACACGGCCCAGACUCCUACGGGAGGGAGCAGUGGCGAAUCUAGCGCAAUGGGGGAAAGCCUGACGCAGCCAUGCCGCGUGAAUGAUGAAGGUGUUAGGAUUGUAAAAGUCUUUCACCGGGGACGCGGUACCCGGAGAAGAAGCCCCGGCUAACUUCGUGCCAGCAGCCGCGGUAAUAC
rnacentral:rRNA from 1 species